GAUAUUUGGGUGGAAGUGUAACUGAAUAGAAAAUGAUUAACUUACAGGUUCGUGCAUUGCUGAUACAAGCAAGGAAGGAUAAUGGUGGCCCACAUACACCUUGGAUCCUGGCCUAUACAGGCAUACAUGAAGAACUCUGAUGGUUCUCAUCAGGAGUGAAUAGGGCAAAGCUGAUUUUGCUGUGGCCAGAACUGUGCCUUUUGUUAGGCUUUCCUGGAGAAAACUGGCUGCUUCACAGAGGUUUAACAUUUAAAGACUCUGAUGAAAGUCAUGUUCUCUAUGCCUGACACAGGUUAUUUGGUGCUUGGUGAUGAGAUGGAAUACAGGUGUGUGUUAGAAGCAAUCCUCUGCAAAGAACUAAUGAACGGCCUAAUUACUUUCCUCAGCUGUGACUGAGAAGCUGAUUAGAAGCAGCUGCUGUAGCUCUGGCUGCCCUAGCCAAAAGGGGGCAGGGGCAGAGGUUGUCUGAGAAGCCAUUGGAUGGAGGGGUCAAGUUUGCUGAUGUUUCUUCUCAUCAGGAAAAAGCCAGAUGAAUUGAAGGACAGAACGUGCUUUUCUGGACACACAAAACUUCCCUGAAAUAUCUGAGUGAGAGAUUGUAUUUGGAGGUGAUGCUACCCACUGCAUGGCAGAUAAAGUUGUUGGUUCUGCUGUUUAAUGUUUCUAAUUGCAACUGGUGCUGGAAAAGGAAGUAUUCAGAUAUUUUCCUUCAGAAGAAUGUGUCCCUCUGCUGGAAAUUAAAUAGAUGAGCCUAUUGAGAGGUGACCAAUGGGCUGUGCAUGCUUGUGAUCAGCAAGAAGCUUUGAGGAUGUGGGGCCAGGAGGAGGAAAGCUGAUGCUCUGGGAAAUCAGUGCCUCACCACUCGCACCGUGUGGUCUUUCUGAUGCUGCAGAAGGUGAAAGCUAUGCACUGGGAGAAGCAGUAAUUACUGUAAUGAAUAAAUACUGAUCCCUGGAAAUAUGUACA
rnacentral:lncRNA from 1 species